UUACGGCCAUAUUACGUUGAAGCGCCGGUUCUCGUACGAUCACCAAAGUUAAGCAAUGUCGAACCCGGUUAGUAUUUAAGUGAGUGACUACUUGAGAAUACCAGUUGAUGUAAG